rnacentral:rRNA from 1 species
CCUACGGGUGGCAGCAGUCGAGAAUCAUUCACAAUGGGGGAAACCCUGAUGGUGCGACGCCGCGUGGGGGAAUGAAGGUCUUCGGAUUGUAAACCCCUGUCAUGUGGGAGCAAAUUAAAAAGAUAGUACCACAAGAGGAAGAGACGGCUAACGCUGUGCCAGCAGCCGCGGGAAUACAGAGGUCCUAAGCGUUGUUCGGAAUCACUGGGCGUAAAGCGUGCGUAGGCUGUUUCGUAAGUCGUGUGUGAAAGGCGCGGGCUCAACCCGCGGACGGCACAUGAUACUGCGAGACUAGAGUAAUGGAGGGGGAACCGGAAUGCUCGGUGUAGCAGUGAAAUGCGUAGAUAUCGAGAGGAACACUCGUGGCGAAGGCGGGUUCCUGGACAUUAACUGACGCUGAGGCACGAAGGCCAGGGGAGCGAAAGGGAUUAGAUACCCUAGUAGUC